GGCAGCCAGCGCAGGGGCUUCUGCUGAGGGGGCAGGCGGAGCUUGAGGAAACCGCAGAUAAGUUUUUUUCUCUUUGAAAGAUAGAGAUUAAUACAACUACUUAAAAAAUAUAGUCAAUAGGUUACUAAGAUAUUGCUUAGCGUUAAGUUUUUAACGUAAUUUUAAUAGCUUAAGAUUUUAAGAGAAAAUAUGAAGACUUAGAAGAGUAGCAUGAGGAAGGAAAAGAUAAAAGGUUUCUAAAACAUGACGGAGGUUGAGAUGAAGCUUCUUCAUGGAGUAAAAAAUGUAUUUAAAAGAAAAUUGAGAGAAAGGACUACAGAGCCCCGAAUUAAUACCAAUAGAAGGGCAAUGCUUUUAGAUUAAAAUGAAGGUGACUUAAACAGCUUAAAGUUUAGUUUAAAAGUUGUAGGUGAUUAAAAUAAUUUGAAGGCGAUCUUUUAAAAAGAGAUUAAACCGAAGGUGAUUAAAAGACCUUGAAAUCCAUGACGCAGGGAGAAUUGCGUCAUUUAAAGCCUAGUUAACGCAUUUACUAAACGCAGACGAAAAUGGAAAGAUUAAUUGGGAGUGGUAGGAUGAAACAAUUUGGAGAAGAUAGAAGUUUGAAGUGGAAAACUGGAAGACAGAAGUACGGGAAGGCGAAGAAAAGAAUAGAGAAGAUAGGGAAAUUAGAAGAUAAAAACAUACUUUUAGAAGAAAAAAGAUAAAUUUAAACCUGAAAAGUAGGAAGCAGAAGAAAAAAGACAAGCUAGGAAACAAAAAGCUAAGGGCAAAAUGUACAAACUUAGAAGAAAAUUGGAAGAUAGAAACAAGAUAGAAAAUGAAAAUAUUGUCAAGAGUUUCAGAUAGAAAAUGAAAAACAAGCUAAGACAAGUAUUGGAGAAGUAUAGAAGAUAGAAAAAUAUAAAGCCAAAAAUUGGAUAAAAUAGCACUGAAAAAAUGAGGAAAUUAUUGGUAACCAAUUUAUUUUAAAAGCCCAUCAAUUUAAUUUCUGGUGGUGCAGAAGUUAGAAGGUAAAGCUUGAGAAGAUGAGGGUGUUUACGUAGACCAGAACCAAUUUAGAAGAAUACUUGAAGCUAGAAGGGGAAGUUGGUUAAAAAUCACAUCAAAAAGCUACUAAAAGGACUGGUGUAAUUUAAAAAAAACUAAGGCAGAAGGCUUUUGGAAGAGUUAGAAGAAUUUGGAAGGCCUUAAAUAUAGUAGCUUAGUUUGAAAAAUGUGAAGGACUUUCGUAACGGAAGUAAUUCAAGAUCAAGAGUAAUUACCAACUUAAUGUUUUUGCAUUGGACUUUGAGUUAAGAUUAUUUUUUAAAUCCUGAGGACUAGCAUUAAUUGACAGCUGACCCAGGUGCUACACAGAAGUGGAUUCAGUGAAUCUAGGAAGACAGCAGCAGACAGGAUUCCAGGAACCAGUGUUUGAUGAAGCUAGGACUGAGGAGCAAGCGAGCAAGCAGCAGUUCGUGGUGAAGAUAGGAAAAGAGUCCAGGAGCCAGUGCGAUUUGGUGAAGGAAGCUAGGAAGAAGGAAGGAGCGCUAACGAUUUGGUGGUGAAGCUAGGAAAAAGGAUUCCAGGAAGGAGCGAGUGCAAUUUGGUGAUGAAGGUAGCAGGCGGCUUGGCUUGGCAACCACACGGAGGAGGCGAGCAGGCGUUGUGCGUAGAGGAUCCUAGACCAGCAUGCCAGUGUGCCAAGGCCACAGGGAAAGCGAGUGGUUGGUAAAAAUCCGUGAGGUCGGCAAUAUGUUGUUUUUCUGGAACUUACUUAUGACAGGUAUCUCUUCGUUAUCAGAAGAGUUGCUUCAUUUCAUCUGGGAGCAGAAAACAGCAGGCAGCUGUUAACAGAUAAGUUUAACUUGCAUCUGCAGUAUUGCAUGUUAGGGAUAAGUGCUUAUUUUUAAGAGCUGUGGAGUUCUUAAAUAUCAACCAUGGCACUUUCUCCUGACCCCUUCCCUAGGGGAUUUCAGGAUUGAGAAAUUUUUCCAUCGAGCCUUUUUAAAAUUGUAGGACUUGUUCCUGUGGGCUUCAGUGAUGGGAUAGUACACUUCACUCAGAGGCAUUUGCAUCUUUAAAUAAUUUCUUAAAAGCCUCUAAAGUGAUCAGUGCCUUGAUGCCAACUAAGGAAAUUUGUUUAGCAUUGAAUCUCUGAAGGCUCUAUGAAAGGAAUAGCAUGAUGUGCUGUUAGAAUCAGAUGUUACUGCUAAAAUUUACAUGUUGUGAUGUAAAUUGUGUAGAAAACCAUUAAAUCAUUCAAAAUAAUAAACUAUUUUUAUUAGAGAAUGUAUACUUUUAGAAAGCUGUCUCCUUAUUUAAAUAAAAUAGUGUUUGUCUGUAGUUCAGUGUUGGGGCAAUCUUGGGGGGGAUUCUUCUCUAAUCUUUCAGAAACUUUGUCUGCGAACACUCUUUAAUGGACCAGAUCAGGAUUUGAGCGGAAGAACGAAUGUAACUUUAAGGCAGGAAAGACAAAUUUUAUUCUUCAUAAAGUGAUGAGCAUAUAAUAAUUCCAGGCACAUGGCAAUAGAGGCCCUCUAAAUAAGGAAUAAAUAACCUCUUAGACAGGUGGGAGAUUAUGAUCAGAGUAAAAGGUAAUUACACAUUUUAUUUCCAGAAAGUCAGGGGUCUAUAAAUUGACAGUGAUUAGAGUAAUACUUUUUCACAUUUCCAAAGUUUGCAUGUUAACUUUAAAUGCUUACAAUCUUAGAGUGGUAGGCAAUGUUUUACACUAUUGACCUUAUAUAGGGAAGGGAGGGGGUGCCUGUGGGGUUUUAAAGAAUUUUCCUUUGCAGAGGCAUUUCAUCCUUCAUGAAGCCAUUCAGGAUUUUGAAUUGCAUAUGAGUGCUUGGCUCUUCCUUCUGUUCUAACUUCACAGAGAAUGCAGUUGUCUUGACUUCAGAUGCAACCUUAAAAUCAGUGACAAGAAACAUUCCAAACAAGCAACAGUCUUCAAGAAAUUAAACUGGCAAGUGGAAAUGUUUAAACAGUUCAGUGAUCUUUAGUGCAUUGUUUAUGUGUGGGUUUCUCUCUCCCCUCCCUUGGUCUUAAUUCUUACAUGCAGGAACACUCAGCAGACACACGUAUGCGAAGGGCCAGAGAAGCCAGACCCAGUAAGAAAAAAUAGCCUAUUUACUUUAAAUAAACCAAACAUUCCAUUUUAAAUGUGGGGAUUGGGAACCACUAGUUCUUUCAGAUGGUAUUCUUCAGACUAUAGAAGGAGCUUCCAGUUGAAUUCACCAGUGGACAAAAUGAGGAAAACAGGUGAACAAGCUUUUUCUGUAUUUACAUACAAAGUCAGAUCAGUUAUGGGACAAUAGUAUUGAAUAGAUUUCAGCUUUAUGCUGGAGUAACUGGCAUGUGAGCAAACUGUGUUGGCGUGGGGGUGGAGGGGUGAGGUGGGCGCUAAGCCUUUUUUUAAGAUUUUUCAGGUACCCCUCACUAAAGGCACCGAAGGCUUAAAGUAGGACAACCAUGGAGCCUUCCUGUGGCAGGAGAGACAACAAAGCGCUAUUAUCCUAAGGUCAAGAGAAGUGUCAGCCUCACCUGAUUUUUAUUAGUAAUGAGGACUUGCCUCAACUCCCUCUUUCUGGAGUGAAGCAUCCGAAGGAAUGCUUGAAGUACCCCUGGGCUUCUCUUAACAUUUAAGCAAGCUGUUUUUAUAGCAGCUCUUAAUAAUAAAGCCCAAAUCUCAAGCGGUGCUUGAAGGGGAGGGAAAGGGGGAAAGCGGGCAACCACUUUUCCCUAGCUUUUCCAGAAGCCUGUUAAAAGCAAGGUCUCCCCACAAGCAACUUCUCUGCCACAUCGCCACCCCGUGCCUUUUGAUCUAGCACAGACCCUUCACCCCUCACCUCGAUGCAGCCAGUAGCUUGGAUCCUUGUGGGCAUGAUCCAUAAUCGGUUUCAAGGUAACGAUGGUGUCGAGGUCUUUGGUGGGUUGAACUAUGUUAGAAAAGGCCAUUAAUUUGCCUGCAAAUUGUUAACAGAAGGGUAUUAAAACCACAGCUAAGUAGCUCUAUUAUAAUACUUAUCCAGUGACUAAAACCAACUUAAACCAGUAAGUGGAGAAAUAACAUGUUCAAGAACUGUAAUGCUGGGUGGGAACAUGUAACUUGUAGACUGGAGAAGAUAGGCAUUUGAGUGGCUGAGAGGGCUUUUGGGUGGGAAUGCAAAAAUUCUCUGCUAAGACUUUUUCAGGUGAACAUAACAGACUUGGCCAAGCUAGCAUCUUAGCGGAAGCUGAUCUCCAAUGCUCUUCAGUAGGGUCAUGAAGGUUUUUCUUUUCCUGAGAAAACAACACGUAUUGUUUUCUCAGGUUUUGCUUUUUGGCCUUUUUCUAGCUUAAAAAAAAAAAAAGCAAAAGAUGCUGGUGGUUGGCACUCCUGGUUUCCAGGACGGGGUUCAAAUCCCUGCGGCGUCUUUGCUUUGACUACUAAUCUGUCUUCAGGACUCUUUCUGUAUUUCUCCUUUUCUCUGCAGGUGCUAGUUCUUGGAGUUUUGGGGAGGUGGGAGGUAACAGCACAAUAUCUUUGAACUAUAUACAUCCUUGAUGUAUAAUUUGUCAGGAGCUUGACUUGAUUGUAUAUUCAUAUUUACACGAGAACCUAAUAUAACUGCCUUGUCUUUUUCAGGUAAUAGCCUGCAGCUGGUGUUUUGAGAAGCCCUACUGCUGAAAACUUAACAAUUUUGUGUAAUAAAAAUGGAGAAGCUCUAAAUUGUUGUGGUUCUUUUGUGAAUAAAAAAAUCUUGAUUGG
rnacentral:lncRNA from 1 species